AUUCAGGGGAAUGAUCAUAACUGUGUCAUUCUCCACAAGUGUAAUUAUCUUGCUAUUAAGAGUAACCUGUAAUUUUUCAAAAAUCCAGCAGCUUUAGAUACAGAUUGUUAGCCCUCUCUCAUAUCUUCCAAUGCUUAGCACAGGAUAUAUUAAAUGCAAGAAAAACACCCUACCUAACAGUGGUUUUGCCCACAUGUGACCCAAGGGAACCACCAGUGCACGUUCCACCACCAGCACUGAUAGGCUCCUCUGCAACCUCCAUCCAGCCACCAGGAUCAAGGCAGGCUCCAGCUCUACCUCCUAGUAUGGCACACUGUAUUUUAAACACUUCUCCUCAUUAUAACAUGGAUGAUCCUAUGGGGAUGCUGCAACAAAGACACAGCCAAGAAGGGAGAGAGAGGUGCUGGAAGUAGAAUACAAGAGCACAGCAUUGGGUCUUAAUUUUGUAACUCAACAACUUUUUGUCAUCUUGGAAAAAACAACUGAGCGAGGUGUGUAUUUCAGGGUACAAUUUAUUCAAGAUCCUCUUCAGAGACCUUAAGCUGAGACUGUUGAGAAGGAUAUUCAGUUGGAUCCAAGAACAGAAAACAUCUCUUGCCAAGUACUAGAUGAGAGAAGCACUAUCUGCUGGAUGCACACUGAGAGUGCUGGGUUUUUCCCCCACCUGUCUUGCUUUGUGACAUACAAUUCCACUUGCUGAAUUUGUGCAAGAAGGACCAAAUCUCAGCCUAGGAAUUAAUAUCAAGUGAGCACAAAAGUACCUCUGAGAUCAGGGAGAUGAACUGGCAUUGCCAAGAAUUACCUUAUAACACUGGUCAUCAGCAUCAACUCAGCACUGUGGUUAAGGCCAGGGAAGCAAACCUAACCCCAAGGAGGAGGCCCUCUGUCAGCAAGAGCAGUUCUGCUGUAGGACACAAGCAUGACAACGCUGUGGGAGGGGACCCUUCGCAUGAUGUUUUGCUGACAGCAAGGAUUUUGUUUAGAAAGAGGAUACAGAUGAAUUUGUACCAAUGAUGACAACUCAGAAAAUAUCACCUCCCCAGCUCCAUUUCUGCAUGUUGCAUACACAGAAGGUAGUUCUUCCUAUACAUGAUGUAUAAAAAUGAGAAAUGUAACAACUAAAAGCAAGUCAGCUGAUAUUUCUUAAAGUUAUUGAAAUCACUGAGUAUUUCUAAGGAAAUACACAGAGACUCAAACAAAAGACAAUCCACAACAGAAAAACACCUGUAUGCUUUACUCAAUUAUUUUACACAAAACAAGGAUAUUUCUACCUUCUGUUGGGUAUUUAUAACAAAGUUUUUUUUAUGUUUAAUCUCAUAGGGGCAGACAUUUUUCUGCCUUGUGUCCAGCUUAUGAAACAAGUGUCUAGCCAUGUUUCAAAUACUGGAGGGAUUAAGUGAUUUCUUAGAGUGGUCUGGCACUGAAAUAGGUUGCCCAGUGAGGUGGUGGAGUCACCAUCCCUGCAGGUGUUUAAGAGGUGUCUAGAUCCAGCCCUGGGUGAUGUGGUUUAGGGUUUUACAGGGACAGUGUUGGGUUCAUGGUUGGACUUGGUGAUAUUAAAUGUCUCUUCCAGCCUUGAUGAUUCUAUGAGUCUGGGUAAACAUGCAGUCUGGGUAAACAUGCUGAGCUUAUUCUACUCCCAGUGGAAUCAAUGCAGCAUCCUGACCUUCUUUCCUAGAAGGAAAUCAAGCACACUUUGCAAUUUACCUUUGAAGCUCAGCAAAGAGUGUGGAGGCUCCUAAAUAUAUCAAAUUUGUAGAACAAGUAAAAAGGGUUUUCCCAAUGUGUUAGGAAACAUGAUUAUUAAAAUCCAGUAUCAUUACUUCAGAUUAUGAAAGUUGAGAAUAAUGGAGCAAAGUGUGGAAAUGAAGAAAGAAAAAGAGAUAAAUAUCAAAGAAAAGAUUAUUUGAAUAAGGAAGAGGAAAUGCUGAACUAGAUCUUACGAAACUCACAUUAUAGAAAAAAAAAAGAAGACACCCACAGGAUAGGUACAUAACUAUGUAUUUUAGAAAAUUAUACCUCAGACAUUAUCUUCAUGGUGAUCCACAGGCAUACAGAGAAUUACUGCAGACAUCUACUGAAAUUUAAAUUAGCUAGCUCAGUUAUAGAUAGUAGUAUAUCUGCUAUGUCAAGGCUUUAGCACCCAAGCCUUGUAUUUUAGAAGCCUGGCUGUAUUUAAGCUUCUUUUUUCUGCACAGGUGCCCAGACCGGUUAGGUUAAUGGCAGGCUGGGUGUGUCCACAUGGGCUGCAAUUGCACCUGCAGUCUGUAUCAAAAGAUUCAGAGCCUGAAAAAGAGCUGGCAAGAGAAGAAAUACGGAAAAAAAACCUUCUGAAUUUUGUAAAUCAGUGGAAAGUCAAGCCUCAUGUAUAGCAGCUUCUUCACCAGAGACUGUGGAACAAGAAAAUUACAGCUCUUACAAGCAGUUUACAAAUAUUAUGUCCUUGCAAAGGUUUUGCAACUAUAUAUAAUACUGCCAGCUUUGAUCUCGUUGUAUUUAAUUCACUACCUAAUUAAAACAGUUCUAUCUGCCAAAGUUAAUUUAAGCACUCAUAUGUUAACCCAGCAUAAUUUUCAAGAAAUCUCCUUCCUUUACAAUUAUAUUGCCGUAUGUUAAUAUGAUGGCUUUUAAUAGAUUUUUUGUUUACAUACAUGCCAUAAGUGACCCACUGAAAGAUUGUAUCCUAGUAUCCAAGUAAAGUAGCAUCUGUUCUAAGUUCCCUUGUAGCUAGCAGAUUCACAGCAACUAUUACUCCAACUUGCAAUUUUUUGCAUCACUAAGAGCUCAGUGCAAUUACUUCCUAAGUGUGCCAUCUCUGCUCUAUGCUUCAUUCAGUAAAAUCUGUUUUAUGGGUGUUUUAGUGGCGAGCUGCGCUGUAGAAGCUAUAAUUUCUAUAAUUUGAGCUGGAUGUGACGUACAGCCUCGCAAGCACACCGAUUUAUUUAUUUUGCUUACUCCUGAUAACACUGAGGUGUGUGUCUGAAAGGCCAGCACGGCAUCCAGCGAGCAGGAGAUUCCCCACCCUCGCUGCCUGCCUUGGUUUCCUCCCAAGGCUGGGACAGGAAAUGCAGUGGUUGCAAGGCACACAACUCCCAGCCCUCCUCAGCAGUGUCAGCACUGCAAGGCCACUUCGUUUGGCCACAAACAUGUCAGUGAUUACUGACUUCUGCUUCGGUGUGGCAGAUCUGCUGGGAAUAAACAGCAAAUUACUUGUUACAGAAAGCACAACAUUGUUUGCUAGUAUUGGCCAAAUCACAAUUAGCUCCUGCUCUCCAAAUUCAGUUUUUCUGAGACCUAAACACACCACAAAAAUUCUAGCUGACAACCAACUACUUUCCCGUGAUUUACAGUUACUUCAAAUCAAAAUGUUUUCAGCUUAUUUGUGUUUAGAAGUUACAGUGGUAGAAGCCAUUAUAGCAAAAAGAGGCAUGCGAAUGCACUGCAGCUUGCACUUUAAAGAGGAAGAGAUGGGUACUGGAAUAAGGAGGCAGUGUACCUGUGCAAAGGACCUGAAAAGAAUGCAUUGCUGGGAUACUCCCUUUGAUUCAGCCUGACACACGUGAAGCUCCGCCAGCUUCUGUUCUGCAGUGCUGCUGCUGCUGCACUAAAAAUAGCUUCCGCUUGCUUUGGCUCCACAUCUAAUUUAUGGAAACUCACAGAAAAAAGGCCCCUGUUAGUGGGUGAGCGACGUACGAUUCUACAGCGUGUGCUGUUCAUCUCGCUCAGCCUCCUGAAAGGCAUCACUGAAAAUUUAAAAUUUUACCCUGCAGUUAAUGGUGGCUAAGGGGAAAGAUGAAAAUGCUUAAUAUGCUCAAUUUAUGUUUAAGGUGCUUUAAUGAUAAUUUAACUAGAAAUUUCAGACAGUGGGACUAUGCUAUGUAAAAAUGCCUAGAAUUUAGAACAGAAAUUUCUAAUAAGAUUACAAACCUCCUGUUUGGACUAACAGUUUUCACAUGUUCUAUACAAACUACUUCCCUGUGCCAUGAAAGUCAUCAUGUAAAUAUGCCCUUAUAUUAAAUGCUGAUUUUAUAAACUUUGCCACAGAACUCAACUCUGUGUGAAACAUUUUGUGUGAAACAAUCUGACAUAAAGCUUUCUCUGAAAAAAAUCCAAGUUUAUGUUAGAACUCAAAAUCAAAGUAAGUUCAAGCAAGUGGUUACAUCUCUUUGUAGAAAAGAAUGGGUUUUAAUGUUCUAAAGCAAAAAUUUUCAGAUGUUCAUUCAUAGUACCACGUCUAGGAGUGUCACCAGCUGAGCUGGAGUUAUUUUCAAGGGAAAACCAAAUUAGAAGCAGGGAUGGCAGAAGUCUGGUAUCUGUACUAAUGCGCUGUUUUUUAAUGGUUUAAAUUUUAAGCACUGAAGUAAUGAAUAAAAAUUCCAAAAUUGAAAAGC